GGGCUCUGCGGAGAGAUCAGCGACACGAGGAAGGACACGGCAUUAGGCUAACUACAUUGCAUUUCUAAGCUUACUUCAAAACGGAAUUUGAAGCAACAUAUUAGUAGAUGACAUAUGCCAGUCUGGCACUUUAAAUGCAUCCUAAAUCACCCUUGGCAACUAUUAUACCUUUUACACUUUCCUUAAUCUGCUCCUCCCCAGCCCUUUGGGACGCUGAAGACCCAUCUCCGCAUUAAGUGAUUCCCGGCUGUUUGGAGUAGGACCCUCCGCCUGUCUCAAAGAGGCCAACAUUCCUGCAGCAACAGUUAGCGACCUUCCUCCCUGCCAGCCAGGGCUCUGCGUCCCGCCUACAGUUGCCCCGAACCUUCCAGGCACGCACUGUCCUCUAAUUGCAAGUGGAGUUUCCACUGCUCUUGGAACAUUUCUUAGGCCUAAUGGCUGAAGGGGUUUGAACAUGUGUAAGCUGCCAGAGCUCCCUGCAGUGGAAGCACAGACUAGGAGAGAACCAAACCCAGCCCACCAGCAGACGGCGACCCCAAGAAACAGCACGUGCCUGGUCAGCCUCAGCCCGGCCCUGAGCACGGGACGCCUCACAGGUCUUUCCUCAUAGGCAAACUACCUCUGUGGUCCAGAAAACCACAAGCCAUAUCCUAGCCGUGGGGAUGCCUGGCAGAAGCAAAUGCAAAUUUUUUCUGGAAUGACCCUCCCUUAACCUUGGUUUAUACCAAGUCAAUCCCAACCCAAUCUGGCAUUUGUAACACAUGAAAUGAGCCACUCCGAGUGAGGGGCAGCAGAAACAAACAGUAUCCUUGCUAAAGAACUUGAGAUGGCUGUUCACACACUGCAGUCACAGGAAAGGUAGAGUCAAAAACAAGGUGUCAAAAAUAAGGACAGACAUUUGAAAGAGAGCCAAAUAAUGACUAGGUAGAAGAGACUGAAAUCUCAAACUUGAGGCACAGCCCCACAGAAAAUAAAUAAACUAGAUGGCAGGAUGAGUAAAUCUGUGCAAUGCAGCAUAGAGGAACAAAGGGAAAUGCGAGCGAGCAUAAGAGGUAUGUGAGACACAGAAGCGUAGCAUCUGGUCACGUUUCCCCAGAGCCAAGAAGGGAAGAGAACUCUAUUCAAAGAAGCUGAUGAUUUUCCCAAAUCGAUGAAAGACCUCAGGACCCAGAUUUAAAAAGCAAAACAUUCCAAGCGAGAUCAAAGCAAUCCUCACCUACAUCAAUUGCUUUGAAGUUGAAGAACAUCAAAGACAAAGGCUCUCUAAAAAGCAGCCAGAGAGAGAGGGCAGGUUAAGAAAGAAAAGGAAAUAAUUAGGAUGACAGGCAACUUCUGAACAACAAUAAUAAAAGCCAGAAGACUGUGGAGUAAGUUCAAAGAGGAGAGAGAAAUGUCAUCUCUAAAAUGGUGUAACAUUAGGUAUCAUUUAAGCUCCAGGAGAGGAGAAGCAGAGACCAAGAAGAAACACGUCAUGACGAGCCUGCUCUCGCUGGAGGCACAGCCAAGGAAGGACUGAGUGCAAGAAAGCAUGUUAAGCAAAGAGACGUGUGAGUGUGUGAGUUAAUGUAAAACCUGGAAUGGAACAGUCAUAACAAGGAGUCACCAGGGCCAAAUCACCCUCCUGAACAAAGACACGGGGCAGAGAGGAGGGUCCUCAGAGCCACAGGAUGUGAGAUUACGGCUUCAUCUGGGAGGAAAGUGAGUCUCACUAUCUUCAGGCUCAGAAAAUCACUGAAGUUCAGCACUCAACUGAGAGGGCACUGGGUCCACUCUGGAGCAUCUCAGAGCUGAGUCAAUCCUUCUGGAAGCAGGCGCACCCCUGGCUGCAUAGGAUGCCAUUUUGCUGAACUACUGGUUCAGAGACACAAGAGCCUGAAAUCUAUGGGAACACAGAGCCAGAAAACCCAGGCACAGACCAGGACAUCUCCGAGGUAUUUCCGGCAGGUAGCUGCUAGAUGCUUCCCUCUGCCAGCCCGAUGCCUUGCUAGCUGUGGAGGAGGUACAGUGCGUGCCUGUCCCUGUCACCAGGGGCUGGUCGUCAACAGAAGCUGCUCCUUCCAAGCCGGCCACACACCUACUACAUCAUCAUCAGCCGUGUGUCCGUGGCUCUCCCUAUAAUGGGAGCUUCCUGAGAGGCACUUUCAUUUCUCUGUGCUUCCUCUGGGCUCACCAGCAAGUGCUAAACUGAAGGAAGACAGAGUUAAGUUGUUCACCAAUCAGAGUUUCUGGGGCUGUCCAUCAGUGCAUCUCUUCUAUGACAUAAGACAUUGCUGCGAUGUGUCAUUAUGUUCAAAUUUGCGGGUCGGCCAGGGUGUAUCUGUAUGGAUUGAAUGUGUCUCCUAAAAUUUGUAUGUUGAAGCCCUAACCCCCAAGAUGAGGAUACCUGGAGUUGGGACCGCUGGGAGGUGAUUAGGUUAGACGAGGUCAGGUGGACAUGGUGCCUGUGGUCGAGAUUAGCCCUAAUACCAAGAGACAGCGGAGGGCUCCACCCUGCUGUUGGCCACGUGCACACAUAGGGAGAAGGGGGCCGCCUAUGAGCCAGGAAGAGAGCCCUCAUCAGACACCGAUCAUGCCGGCACCCUGAUCUUGGACCUGAGGCCUCCAGAACUGAGGGAGAAGAAAUGUCGACUGUUCAA